UAGCUAGUUGGUGAGGUAAAGGCUUACCAAGGCGACGAUCUGUAGCGGGUCUGAGAGGAUGAUCCGCCACACUGGAACUGAGACACGGUCCAGACUCCUACGGGAGGCAGCAGUGGGGAAUUUUGGACAAUGGGGGCAACCCUGAUCCAGCCAUGCCGCGUGAGUGAAGAAGGCCUUCGGGUUGUAAAGCUCUUUCGGCCGGGAAGAAAUCGCAUGGGCCAAUACCCUGUGUGGAUGACGGUACCGGAAUAAGAAGCACCGGCUAACUACGUGCCAGCAGCCGCGGUAAUACGUAGGGUGCGAGCGUUAAUCGGAAUUACUGGGCGUAAAGCGUGCGCAGGCGGUUUUGUAAGACAGGCGUGAAAUCCCCGGGCUUAACCUGGGAACUGCGUUUGUGACUGCAAGGCUAGAGUACGGCAGAGGGGGGUGGAAUUCCACGUGUAGCAGUGAAAUGCGUAGAGAUGUGGAGGAACACCAAUGGCGAAGGCAGCCCCCUGGGUCGAUACUGACGCUCAUUCACGAAAGCGUGGGUAGCAAACAGGAUUAGAUACCCUGGUAGUCCACGCCCUAAACUAUGUCAACUAGGUGUUGGGUGGGUAAAACCAUUUAGUACCGUAGCUAACGCGUGAAGUUGACCGCCUGGGGAGUACGGCCGCAAGGUUAAAACUCAAAGGAAUUGACGGGGACCCGCACAAGCGGUGGAUGAUGUGGAUUAAUUCGAUGCAACGCGAAAAACCUUACCUACCCUUGACAUGCCAGGAACUUGCCAGAGAUGGCUUGGUGCCCGAAAGGGAGCCUGGACACAGGUGCUGCAUGGCUGUCGUCAGCUCGUGUCGUGAGAUGUUGGGUUAAGUCCCGCAACGAGCGCAACCCUUGUCGUUAAUUGCCAUCAUUUAGUUGGGCACUUUAACGAGACUGCCGGUGACAAACCGGAGGAAGGUGGGGAUGACGUCAAGUCCUCAUGGCCCUUAUGGGUAGGGCUUCACACGUCAUACAAUGGUCGGUACAAAGGGUUGCCAAGCCGCGAGGCGGAGCCAAUCCCAGAAAGCCGAUCGUAGUGCGGAUUGCAGGCUGCAACUCGCCUGCAUGAAGUCGGAAUCGCUAGUAAUCGUGGAUCAGCAUGUCACGGUGAAUACGUUCCCGGGUCUUGUACACACCGCCCGUCACACCAUGGGAGCGGGUUCCGCCAGAAGUAGGUAGCCUAACCGCAAGGGGGGCGCUUACCACGGCGGGGUUCGUGACUGGGGUGAAGUCGUAACAAGGUAGCCGUAGGGGAACCUGCGGCUG
rnacentral:rRNA from 1 species